rnacentral:lncRNA from 10 species
AUCCCGAGACCUUCAGAGUCACCUCGCAGUGUAACCUGUAGCCUGUAGAGAUGACUUCUACCCGGCCUCCCCCUCAGAGCUCUUGGAGUCCAGGCUGAGGGUCUUGAAGAAGGAACUGGAGGACUGUGAGGUGUUCCGGUCCACGGAAAAGAAGGAGAGCAAGGAGCUGCUGGUGAGCCAGGCACCCGCAGGCCCCCCGUGGGACAUUACAGAGGCCUGAGAACUCAGCACCAGGGCUCGGUGUGUGUGGUGUUGGAGUGUGUGCUAUGGAACCGCAGAAUCGAUUUCAGAAAGAUAAUAGAGUCCAUAUUAUAUAGGGUGUCCACAUAAUUGUUGUACAAACCAGAGCUUUUUAAAGUGAAAAGCAGUGCUAAAAUAAUUAUUGCAAAACAACUGGCUUAAACUGGAGCUGUCCCAGCGAAUCAGGACGCUCAGUCACUCUGAUAUUACGUAACAUACCAGUUAGGGCCUGCGGAAGCAUCUUGUAAUGGAACACAUUACUAUUUCUGCAGAGAAACAUGGAUAUUCAAUAAGUGGGAAUAUUAAUACAAUAAAGAGCCUCAUGGCAUGUUUUGUCAACAAAACAGUAGUGAAAAAAA